ACGAAGGGGGCUAGCGUUGCUCGGAAUCACUGGGCGUAAAGCGCACGUAGGCGGACUCUUAAGUCGGUGGUGAAAUCCUGGAGCUCAACUCCAGAACUGCCUUCGAUACUGAGAGUCUCGAGUCCGAGAGAGGUGAGUGGAACUGCGAGUGUAGAGGUGAAAUUCGUAGAUAUUCGCAAGAACACCAGUGGCGAAGGCGGCUCACUGGCUCGGUACUGACGCUGAGGUGCGAAAGCGUGGGGAGCAAACAGG
rnacentral:rRNA from 1 species